rnacentral:rRNA from 1 species
CAAGAGUUUGAUCCUGGCUCAGGAUAAACGCUGACAGAAUGCUUAACACAUGCAAGUCUAUGAGGAAGUUUAGCUUGCUAAAUGGACUCAUGGCGGACGGGUGAGUAACGCGUAAAGAACUUGCCCUUUAGACUGGGAUAACAGAGGGAAACUUCUGAUAAUACUGGAUAAGUUAGUAUAUCGCAUGAUAUGCAAAUGAAAGCUACGGCACUAAAGGAGAGCUUUGCGUCCUAUUAGCUAGUUGGUAAGGUAAGAGCUUACCAAGGCGAUGAUAGGUAGCCGGCCUGAGAGGGUGGACGGCCACAAGGGGACUGAGAUACGGCCCUUACUCCUACGGGAGGCAGCA